CUUCAUCACAUCGGACUCCCCUGAUUGAGAUUCAAAAUGUCAGUACAUCAGUUAAAACUGAGAUGCCAAAUAUGGAAAGCAAUGAGGAGCUUAAAAUGUCGACUGGGCCAUCUACUGUAGUUGCAUCGAAAGGACGACGUUCUACUAUGGAGAGACGCACGACGAAACGGAGAAGAUCUCGCACAAGCACCCCAGAAUCAAACAGACGCUGCGGCCGUUCGACUAAUCCACAAUCAAAGAAUAGGUGUGGAAAUAAUAUGGUUCGAUUAGGAGAGGGAUAUGCCAUGGUCCCUAAGGAUGUCCUAGCGAAUAUUAAGU